CAGCAGCCACGGUAAUACGAAGGGUGCAAGCGUUACUCGGAGUUACUGGGCGUAAAGCGUGCGUAGGUGGUGGUUUAAGUCCGUUGUGAAAGCCCUGGGCUCAACCUGGGAAUUGCAGUGGAUACUGGGUCACUAGAGUGUGGUAGAGGAUAGUGGAAUUUCCGGUGUAGCAGUGAAAUGCGUAGAGAUCGGAAGGAACAUCUGUGGCGAAGGCGACUAUCUGGGCCAACACUGACACUGAGGCACGAAAGCGUGGGGAGCAAACAGGAUUAGAUACCCCCGUAGUCCCUGUCUCUUAUAC
rnacentral:rRNA from 1 species